rnacentral:misc_RNA from 1 species
GAUGAAGAACGCAGCGAAAUGCGAUAAGUAGUGUGAAUUGCAGAAUUCAGUGAAUCAUCGAAUCUUUGAACGCACAUUGCGCCCCUUGGUAUUCCAUGGGGCAUGCCUGUUCGAGCGUCAUUUGUACCUUCAAGCUUUGCUUGGUGUUGGGUGUUUGUCCUGAGGGACUCGCCUUAAAGUAAUUGGCAGCCAGUGUUUGGUUUUGAAGCGCAGCACAAGUCGCGAUUCAAAGCUAUACGCCCGCUUCCACAAGCCUUUUUCACUUUUGACCUCGGAUCAGGUAGGGAUACCCGCUGAACUUAAGCAUAUCAAUAAGCGGGGA